GCUGGGCGCCAUGGUGUGGGCCUGUAGUCCCAGCUACUCAGGAGGCUAAGGUGGGAGGAUCGCUUGAGCCCAGGAGUUCUGGGCUGUAGUGCGCUAUGCUGAUCGGGUGUCUGCACUAAGUUCAGCAUCAAUAUAGUGACCUCCCGGGAGCGGGGGACCACCAGGUUGCCUAAGGAGGGGUGAACCAGCCCAGGUCAGAAACAGAGCAGGUCAACAACUCGUGCGUGAUCAGUAGUGGGAUCGCGCCUGUGAAUAGCUGCUGCACUCCAGCCUGGGCAACAUAGCAAGACCCCGUCUCU
rnacentral:SRP_RNA from 1 species